AUGCCUUACACAUGCAAGUCGAACGGUAACAGGUUAAGCUGACGAGUGGCGAACGGGGUGAGGUAAUGUAUCGGAACGUGCCCAGUCUGGGGGAUAACUGCUCGAAGAGCAGCUAAUACCGCAUACGACCUGAGGGUGAAAGCGGGGGAUCGCAAGACCUCGCGCGAUUGGAGCGGCCGAUAUCAGAUUAGGUAGUUGGUGGGGGUAAAAAGCCUACCAAGCCAACGAUCUGUAGCUGGUCUGAGAGGACGACCAGCCACACUGGGACUGAGACACGGCCCAGACUCCUACGGGAGGCAGCAGUGGGGAAUUUUGGACAAUGGGCGCAAGCCUGAUCCAGCCAUGCCGCGUGCGGGAAGAAGGCCUUCGGGUUGUAAACCGCUUUUGUCAGGGAAGAAAAGGUUCUGGAUAAUACCUGGGACUCAUGACGGUACCUGAAGAAUAAGCACCGGCUAACUACGUG
rnacentral:rRNA from 1 species